rnacentral:rRNA from 1 species
AGGGAGCUUGACUGUGAGACUGACUAGUCGAGCAGGGACGAAAGUCGGGACUAGUGAUCCGGCAGUGGCUUGUGGAAGCGCUGUCGCUCAACGGAUAAAAGGUACCUCGGGGAUAACAGGCUGAUCUUGCCCAAGAGUCCAUAUCGACGGCAUGGUUUGGCACCUCGAUGUCGGCUCGUCGCAUCCUGGGGCUGGAGUAGGUCCCAAGGGUUGGGCUGUUCGCCCAUUAAAGCGGUACGCGAGCUGGGUUUAGAACGUCGUGAGACAGUUCGGUCCCUAUCCGCUGCGCGCGUAGGAAAUUUGAGAAGAUCUAUCCCUAGUACGAGAGGACCGGGAUGGACGAACCUCUGGUGUGUCAGUUGUUCCGCCAGGAGCACCGCUGAUUAGCUACGUUCGGAAUGGAUAACCGCUGAAAGCAUCUAAGCGGGAAGCCAGCUUCAAGAUGAGAUUUCCAUCCCUUAGGGGGAGAGGCUCGCAGCUAGACUACUGCGUUGAUAGGCCGGAUGUGGAAGCGUGGCAACACGUGUAGCUGACCGGUACUAAUAAGCCGAUAACUUGACAACA